rnacentral:rRNA from 1 species
GAUGAACGCUAGCUACAGGCUUAACACAUGCAAGUCGAGGGAACGGCGCACGGGGGAGUAAGACGUAUCCAACCUGCCCUUUACUCGGGGAUAGCCUUUCGAAAGAAAGAUUAAUACCCGAUAUAAAGGAUGGGGAGGCGUUCCAUGAGGUUGGUGGUGAGGUAACGGCCAACCAAGCAUUCGAUGGAUAGGGGUUCGGAGAGGAAGGCCCCCCACAUUGGAACUGAGACCCGGUCCAAACUCCUACGGGAGGCAGCAGUGAGGAAUAUUGGUCAAUGGGCGUUAGCCUGAACCAGCCAAGUAGCGUGAAGGAUGAAGGCUUAUGGGUCGUAAACUUCUUUUAUAUAAGAAUAUGUAUUAUAUGAAUAAGGAUCGGCUAACUCCGUGCCAGCAGCCGCGGUAAUAC